rnacentral:rRNA from 1 species
GACGGGGCCCCGCACAAGCAGCGGAGCAUGCGGCUUAAUUCGACGCAACGCGAAGAACCUUACCAAGGCUUGACAUGUACCGAAAAGCAGCAGAGAUGUUGUGUCCGCAAGGGCGGUAUACAGGUGGUGCAUGGUUGUCGUCAGCUCGUGUCGUGAGAUGUUGGGUUAAGUCCCGCAACGAGCGCAACCCUCGUUCUGUGUUGCCAGCAUUUAGUUGGGGACUCACAGGAGACUGCCGUGGUUAACACGGAGGAAGGUGGGGAUGACGUCAAAUCAUCAUGCCCCUUAUGUCUUGGGCUGCACGCAUGCUGCAAUGGCAGGUACAAAGGGCUGCAAUACCGUAAGGUGGAGCGAAUCCCAAAAAGUCUGUCUCAGUUCGGAUUGAGGUCUGUAACUCGACCUCAUGAAGUCGGAGUUGCUAGUAAUCGUAGAUCAGCAACGCUACGGUGAAUACGUUCCCGGGGCUUGUACACACCGCCCGUCACGUCACGAAAGUCGGUAACACC